UUUCCGUAGGUGAACCUGCGGAAGGAUCAUUACAGUGUUCCCUGCCCUCACGGGUAGAAACGCCCACCCUUUGUAUAUCUUAUCUUUGUUGCUUUGGUAGGCCGCCUUCGGGCGCCGGCUCUCGCUGGACCGUGCCUGCCAAAGACCCCCAAAAUCUGAAUGUUGGUGUUGUCCGAGUACUAUAUAAUAGUUAAAACUUUUAACAACGGAUCUCUUGGUUCUG
rnacentral:misc_RNA from 1 species